rnacentral:tRNA from 1 species
CCAUCGAUAGCUCAGUUGGUAGAGCGGAGUACUGUAGACGUAAAGAGCAUUGAUAUCCUUAGGUCUCUGGUUCAAAUUCGGCUCGACGGA